rnacentral:rRNA from 1 species
AAAUGACGGUACCUGACUAAGAAGCCCCGGCUAAYUACGUGCCAGCAGCCGCGGUAAUACGUAGGGGGCAAGCGUUAUCCGGAUUUACUGGGUGUAAAGGGAGCGUAGACGGCAUGGCAAGUCAGAUGUGAAAGCCCGGGGCUCAACCCCGGGACUGCAUUUGAAACUGUCAGGCUAGAGUGCAGGAGAGGUAAGUGGAAUUCCUAGUGUAGCGGUGAAAUGCGUAGAUAUUAGGAGGAACACCAGUGGCGAAGGCGACUUACUGGACUGUAACUGACGUUGAGGCUCGAAAGCGUGGGGAGCAAACAGGAUUAGAUACCCUGGUAGUCCACGCUGUAAACGAUGAAUACUAGGUGUGGGGGUCUUAAUUGACCUCGGUGCCGCAGCUAACGCAAUAAGUAUUCCACCUGGGGAGUACGUUCGCAAGAAUGAAACUCA